rnacentral:lncRNA from 1 species
CAAAGUCCACUACAUAACAAUAUUAUUAAUUAUGUAUUAAUAAACCUAAAAGAAUUGUUGGAUCGUCGGCGCUAACCAUUAAUCCCAAAAUCUCAAACUGUUAAAAAGAUGAAACUAAUUCACUUGUAGUGUACGAAUAUAGUGUGCACAGGUUUCGAUUGUGAUUCUACCAAAUCAAUCUUACGCCGCUUUGAAUAUGACUCCGGCUCUAUCUGACCUCCUGCCAUAGGGCAGAAUAUUGGUCCCUUUAAAUCAAUAAAAUAAAAGUUUGGAACUGGGUCAAAUUAACUAGGUUAAUUUGCAAGUAACUGUUGGCAUGUGAACUCCUCUCUUGAAUCAAUUUGUUUCAGAAUAACUCCUCCCUUUAAGUCAAUAAAAUUUUGAACACACAAGUGCUAGUAACAUCACAUGCAGUUUUCAGCCGUUCAGAUAAAAAAAUAUGCGGUUAUGAUGAAAAUAAUUACGGUUAGGUUGAUAGUGGGCCCCCUAGGGUUGAGUGGGUGGUUGGUUGAAUAGUAUAAUUUAACGGGUGAAAAUGAUUAAAGGGUGGAUCUAACGGGCAAAAACUUAUGAGUAUAAGAGGCUCUAUACUCAUAAAAGUAUAGUAGCCGGACUCAUAUAUAUAUAUAUAUAUAUCGCUCAGAAAUAAUUUUA